GCCAAUCAAUGGACUUAUACCAAUCUCCAAGGAAUGAUCAUAGGAAACAACUGCCAAUAACUGGACUUACAAUUGACUCCUCACAAGAAACAAAUAACAAAUGCAAUAAGCAAGAGGAAACAAGUUGCCAACAGAUGGUCUUACACUCGACUCCAAGGAAAGGAAUGCCAAUGAAUGGUCUUAGUCCCAAAUCCCACCAGAUC
rnacentral:lncRNA from 1 species